GGGUGUAGCUCAGUGGUAGAGUGUGUGCCUAGCAUGCACAAGACCCUGGGUUCGAUUCCCAGCACGAAAUCA